UGGGAACGUACCCUUUGGUUCGGAACAACCCAGGGAAACUUAGGCUAAUACCGGAUAAGUCCGUAAGGAGAAAGAUUUAUCGCCAAGGGAUCGGCCCGCGUCUGAUUAGCUAGUUGGUAGGGUAAUGGCCUACCAAGGCUACGAUCAGUAGCUGGUCUGAGAGGAUGAUCAGCCACAUUGGGACUGAGACACGACCCAAACUCCUACGGGAGGCAG
rnacentral:rRNA from 1 species